AUAUUUGGCACUUCAAACGUGUCAGGAGGAGAAAUAAUACAGACACUAUCCAGCUCGUUCGAACUACUGACUCGCUCAUUCUCCAUGCGAAUUCUAACCCUCACCUCAACCAAAAUCUCAAACCCUUACCCUAACCCUAAUCCUAACCUUCCAUUCUAACAUGGAGAAGGAGGUCAGUCCUCUGAGUCAUCGAUGCACUUGAUUGCCAAUUCGUGUUUCGACCUCGCACCUUCGUCUGUAUGGCUUCAAUUUCGGCGAAAGAAGGAAGAGUUCGGAGAUCCGAAAUCUUGGAUGCACAGGAAUAUAAGCGACCUCCUCCCUUCAAGGUCGAGCUCAAGUAAAGCCACCGCAUGAUGAGAAGCGCAGGCCCCUUCCUUACUUAGCUGCGAGCGAAGAUGUUCAGCGAUGGCGCAUUUUCUCAGAUGCCAUGCUUACGAGAGUUUUGGGGCACGAGACAAUAGUUUUCUACCUGGUGACAGUUUUCUACCAGUCUCCCUUAAUACACAUUAUCAGCGGCUCGGAGGAGUCUGAAGAACCUCUGUCAGGUUGGGAAAGAGCAACAGAGACUUGACAUUGUUGAUAUGAUAUUGUUCCUCAACAAUUGAGGGUGAUGAUAUGAUAUUGUUCCUCAACAAUUGAGGAUCACCCUGUACCGACCUCAAGUCCUCAAGUUGUGAAUGGUGAUGGCAAAGAUACUGGAGACCACUUACAAGUUCCAACAUAAUUAUAGGGUCUGAAUGUUUACCUCUUACUUUUAACGAAUAGAUAGAAGCUUUCCUAUUAAUUUUCGUUUUCUGACUAAAUCAUUUCUACCUUAGCUAGCCUCUUCGAAUUAUUUUCUGGACUGGAGUAAUUUCAUCAAGAAUUUAAAGAGUUUAUUUGGUCUGAA